UACGAAGGGGGCUAGCGUUGCUCGGAAUCACUGGGCGUAAAGGGUGCGUAGGCGGGUCUUUUAAGUCAGGGGUGAAAUCCUGGAGCUCAACUCCAGAACUGCCUUUGAUACUGAGAUCUUGAGUUCGGGAGAGGUGAGUGGAACUGCGAGUGUAGAGGUGAAAUUCGUAGAUAUUCGCAAGAACACCAGUGGCGAAGGCGGCUCACUGGCCCGAGUACUGACGCUGAGUACGCGAAAAGCGUGGGGAGCAAACAGGG
rnacentral:rRNA from 1 species